GGGAGUGUAGCUCAGUGGUGGAGCGCUUGCCUGGCAUACGGGAAGAAGCCCUGAGUUCAAUCCCCAGCGCUACAA
rnacentral:tRNA from 1 species